CCUACGCGAGGCAGCAGUAGGGAAUCUUCCACAAUGGGCGAAAGCCUGAUGGAGCAACGCCGCGUGGGUGAAGAAGGUCUUCGGAUCGUAACACCCUGUUGUUAGAGAAGAAAGUGCGUGAGAGUAACUGUUCACGUCUCGACAGUAUCUAACCAGAAAGCCACGGCUAACUACGUGCCAGCAGCCGCGGUAAUACGUAGGUGGCAAGCGGUAUCCGGAUUUAUGGGGCGUAAAGGGAAGGCAGGCGGUCUUUUAAGUCAGAUGUGAAAGCCUGGGGCUUAACCGGGGGAAUGCAUUUGAAACUGGGUGGCUUGAGUGCAGGAGGGGCAGGUGGAAUUCCUGGUGUAGCGGUGAAAUGCGUAGAUAUAAGGAGGAACACCGGUGGCGAAGGCGGCUUGCUGGACUGUAACUGACGUUGAGGCUCGAAAGCGUGGGGAGCAAACAGGAUUAGAUACCCUAGUAGUC
rnacentral:rRNA from 1 species